AGACCCGAAACCAGGUGAUCUACCCAUGUCCAGGGUGAAGGCAAGGUAACACUUGCUGGAGGCCCGAACCCACGCACGUUGAAAAGUGCGGGGAUGAGGUGUGGGUAGCGGAGAAAUUCCAAUCGAACUUGGAGAUAGCUGGUUCUCUCCGAAAUAGCUUUAGGGCUAGCCUCAAGCGGAGAGUUUUGGAGGUAGAGCACUGUUUGGACGAGGGGCCCUCAUCGGGUUACCGAAUUCAGACAAACUCCGAAUGCCAAAAACUUAUGCUUGGGAGUCAGACUGUGAGUGAUAAGAUCCAUGGUCGAAAGGGAAACAGCCCAGACCGCCAGCUAAGGUCCCAAAGUAUACGUUAAGUGGAAAAGGAUGUGGCGUUGCUUAGACAACCAGGAUGUUGGCUUAGAAGCAGCCAUCAUUCAAAGAGUGCGUAAUAGCUCACUGGUCGAGUGACGCUGCGCCGAAAAUGUACCGGGGCUAAACGUAUCACCGAAGCUGCGGAUGGACACCGUUUGGUGUCCGUGGUAGGAGAGCGUUCUAAGGGCGUUGAAGCCGGACCGGAAGGACCGGUGGAGCGCUUAGAAGUGAGAAUGCCGGUAUGAGUAGCGAAAGAAGGGUGAGAAUCCCUUCCACCGAAUGCCUAAGGUUUCCUGAGGAAGGCUCGUCCGCUCAGGGUUAGUCGGGGCCUAAGCCGAGGCCGAAAGGCGUAGGCGAUGGACAACAGGUUGAUAUUCCUGUACCGCCUCUUCACCGUUUGAACGAUGGGGGGACGCAGGAGGAUAGGGCAAGCGCGACACUGGUUGAUCGCGUCCAAGCAGUUAGGCCGGUGCGGAGGCAAAUCCUUCGCGCCAAGGCGGAGCUGUGAUGGCGAGGGAAAUUAAAGUACCGAAGUUCCUGAUUCCACACUGCCAAGAAAAGCCUCUAGUGAGGUGAAAGGCGCCCGUACCGCAAACCGACACAGGUAGGCGAGGAGAGAAUCCUAAGGUGAGCGAGAGAACUCUCGUUAAGGAACUCGGCAAAAUGACCCCGUAACUUCGGGAGAAGGGGUGCUUUUUGGGGUGUAUGCCCCGGGAAGCCGCAGUGAAUAGGCCCAGGCGACUGUUUAGCAAAAACACAGGUCUCUGCGAAGCCGCAAGGCGAAGUAUAGGGGCUGACACCUGCCCGGUGCUGGAAGGUUAAGGAGAGGGGUUAGCCGCAAGGCGAAGCUCUGAACUGAAGCCCCAGUAAACGGCGGCCGUAACUAUAACGGUCCUAAGGUAGCGAAAUUCCUUGUCAGGUAAGUUCUGACCCGCACGAAAGGUGUAACGAUCUGGGCACUGUCUCAACGAGAGACUCGGUGAAAUUAUAGUACCUGUGAAGAUGCAGGUUACCCGCGACAGGACGGAAAGACCCCAUGGAGCUUUACUGCAGCCUGAUAUUGAAUUUUGGUACAGCUUGUACAGGAUAGGUAGGAGCCUUGGAAACCGGAGCGCCAGCUUCGGCGGAGGCAUCGGUGGGAUACUACCCUGGCUGUAUUGAAAUUCUAACCCGCACCCCUUACCGGGGUGGGAGACAGUGUCAGGCAGGCAGUUUGACUGGGGCGGUCGCCUCCUAAAAGGUAACGGAGGCGCCCAAAGGUUCCCUCAGAAUGGUUGGAAAUCAUUCGCAGAGUGUAAAGGCAUAAGGGAGCUUGACUGCGAGACUUACAAGUCGGGCAGGGACGAAAGUCGGGCUUAGUGAUCCGGUGGUUCCGCAUGGAAGGGCCAUCGCUCAACGGAUAAAAGCUACCCUGGGGAUAACAGGCUGAUCUCCCCCAAGAGUCCACAUCGACGGGGAGGUUUGGCACCUCGAUGUCGGCUCAUCGCAUCCUGGGGCUGUAGUCGGUCCCAAGGGUUGGGCUGUUCGCCCAUUAAAGCGGUACGCGAGCUGGGUUCAGAACGUCGUGAGACAGUUCGGUCCCUAUCCGUCGCGGGCGCAGGAAAUUUGAGAGGAGCUGUCCUUAGUACGAGAGGACCGGGAUGGACGCACCGCUGGUGUACCAGUUGUCUUGCCAAAGGCAUCGCUGGGUAGCUAUGUGCGGAAGGGAUAAGUGCUGAAAGCAUCUAAGCAUGAAGCCCCCCUCAAGAUGAGAUUUCCCACAGUUU
rnacentral:rRNA from 1 species